GCCCGAGAUUCUCAUUCAGUGAUCAACACUGAACACACAUCCCUUACCAUGGAUUUUGGGCUGAUUUUUUUUAUUGCUGCUCUUUUAAAAGGUGUCCAGUGUGAGGUGAAGCUUCUCGAGUCUGGAGGUGGCCUGGUGCAGCCUGGAGGAUCCCUGAAACUCUCCUGUGCAGCUUCAGGAUUCGAUUUUAGUAGCUACUGGAUGAGUUGGGUCCGGCAGGCUCCAGGGAAAGGGCUAGAAUGGAUUGGAGAAAUUAAUCCAGAUAGCAGUACAAUAAACUAUGCACCAUCUCUAAAGGAUAAAUUCAUCAUCUCCAGAGACAAUGCCAAAAAUACGCUGUACCUGCAAAUGAGCAAAGUGAGAUCUGAGGACACAGCCCUUUAUUACUGUGCAAGACUCACAGUGAGGGAAUCUCAGUUUGUACCCAGACAUGAACCUCAUUGUGAGGCCGCUCACAACCACCAGGGGCGAUGA